rnacentral:lncRNA from 1 species
CAAGUAUGUACGUAUAUAUGUAAUACAUAUAUAUAUAUAUAUAUAUAUAUAUGUAAUUUUCCAGUCUAAAUAAUCUGGCAGAUGUAUUGAUCCAAGUUUCUAUGAAUAUAUUUCUUUUCAUAAGUAUUCCCCAAAUCAUUCAGAGUCGUUUAAUUUCAUUUUUUGUUGUUUUCUGGUCUAUUUUCCUGCUGUAUCUUUGUUCACUGAGUACUUUGGUGUUGGUUACCUAGUAUAUAUGUAAGUGGUUUUGCUAGAUAAUAGAAGAGUUAUUUAUGAACGUCCCAGUGUGUUCAUGUGAUGCUUGAGAGACACCGAGACAUUCUCCGUUCAUGCAAAUGAAGAUGAGUUCAGGAUAUUUUCUGUUGUUACUAAUAUUAAGCAGUCGAGAGACACUGAUGGCCAUGGAAGAGACUAUAUUAAAAGAAAAAUGCAGCUUUACAGAACUUUGUUUUCAACCAACAUUAGCAUACAAAUAUUAAACAAGAAUUUCACUUCUCUACAUUCUUGUCACUUGUGAUGAAUACAUCCUUGCUCGGUAAGUGCUGG